rnacentral:rRNA from 1 species
GAACCUUACCUGGGCUCGAACGGCCGGCUAACGAUCGUGGAAACACGGUUACUCCGCAAGGGGGUCCGGUCGAGGUGCUGCAUGGCUGUCGUCUGCUCGUGUCGUGAGAUGUUGGGUUAAGUCCCGCAACGAGCGCAACCCUUGUCCUGUGUUGCCACAUCGUAAGAUAGCACUCGCAGGAGACCGCCAGCGAUAAGCUGGAGGAAGGUGGGGAUGAUGUCAAGUCAUCAUGGCCUUUAUGUCCAGGGCUACACACGUGCUACAAUGGCCGGUACAAUGCGCUGCAAACCCGCGAGGGGGAGCCAAUCGCAAAAAACCAGUCUCAGUUCGGAUCGCAGGCUGCAACUCGCCUGCGUGAAGCUGGAAUCGCUAGUAAUGGCGUAUCAGAACGAUGCCGUGAAUACGUUCCCGGGCCUUGUCACACCGA